ensembl:snRNA U6 U6 spliceosomal RNA
GUGCUCACUUUGGCAGUACAUAUACUAACAUUGGAAGGAUACACAGAAGAUUAGCAUGGCCCCUGCACAAGGAUGACACACAAAUUUAUGAAGCAUUCCAUAUUUUU